rnacentral:lncRNA from 1 species
UGCAAAGCUGGCUAUUUGGAACCUACAGUAUUUCCUUUUGCCUGAAUUUUUCUUCGCUUGAGCAGAGCUACUAACCUAUUGCUUUAUCAUAUUGAUAGGUUCAGAUGAGAAAUAUGUUUCUUAAAGGAAAAAAAAGAAAAAAGAAUCGGACAGAGAAGUCUUACCUUCUAAUACUUCAGCAGCUACAAACAUUAUGAGCCCGGAAAUAACAUAUUGUGG